rnacentral:tRNA from 1 species
GGUUGUGGCUCAGUGGUAGAGUGCUUACCUAGCAUGAGUGAGGCACUGGGUUCGAUCCCAGGCACCA